rnacentral:rRNA from 1 species
GAUGAACGCUGGCGGCGUGCCUAAUACAUGCAAGUCGAGCGAACGGAGGAGAAGCUUGCUUCUCUGAUGUUAGCGGCGGACGGGUGAGUAACACGUGGAUAACCUACCUAUAAGACUGGGAUAACUUCGGGAAACCGGAGCUAAUACCGGAUAAUAUUUUGAACCGCAUGGUUCAAAAGUGAAAGACGGUCCUGCUGUCACUUAUAGAUGGAUCCGCGCUGCAUUAGCUAGUUGGUAAGGUAACGGCUUACCAAGGCAACGAUGCAUAGCCGACCUGAGAGGGUGAUCGGCCACACUGGAACUGAGACACGGUCCAGACUCCUACGGGAGGCAGCAGUAGGGAAUCUUCCGCAAUGGGCGAAAGCCUGACGGAGCAACGCCGCGUGAGUGAUGAAGGUCUUCGGAUCGUAAAACUCUGUUAUUAGGGAAGAACAUAUGUGUAAGUAACUGUGCACAUCUUGACGGUACCUAAUCAGAAAGCCACGGCUAACUACGUG